rnacentral:rRNA from 1 species
GCCUACGGGACGCAGCAGUGAGGAAUAUUGGUCAAUGGUCGGGAGACUGAACCAGCCAAGCCGCGUGAGGGAUGAAGGUACAGAGUAUCGUAAACCUCUUUUGCCAGGGAACAAAGGCGGGGACGUGUCCCCGGAUGAGUGUACCUGAAGAAAAAGCAUCGGCUAACUCCGUGCCAGCAGCCGCGGUAAUACGGAGGAUGCGAGCGUUAUCCGGAUUUAUUGGGUUUAAAGGGUGCGCAGGCGGUCUGUUAAGUCAGCGGUCAAAGCCCGGGGCUCAACCCCGGCCCGCCGUUGAAACUGGCAGU